rnacentral:ribozyme from 1 species
CCCCUCAAAAUGUAAAAAAAAUAGAAAACCCUGUAGAAAAAAAUAGAAAAAAUAGUUCCCCUUAUCAUAUGAACGGUUUCUCGUCAUCCAUCUC